ACUCUUGGGUUUCUCUCAGAAUCGUACAAAUCUUUCGCCUUUUACUAAGAUUUCCGUGGAGAGGAACAACAAGAGUUAGAUUCAUUUUUUGAUGGCCCUGCAAGCAUAGGGCU
rnacentral:snRNA from 1 species